rnacentral:rRNA from 1 species
GUCCACGCCCUAAACGAUGUCGACUGGUUGUUGGGGGUUUGACACUCUCAGUAACGAAGCUAACGCGUGAAGUCGACCGCCUGGGGAGUACGGCCGCAAGGUUAAAACUAAAAGGAAUUGACGGGGACCCGCACAAGCGGUGGAUUAUGUGGAUUAAUUCGAUGCAACGCGAAAAACCUUACCUACCCUUGACAUGUCCGAGAGCCUGCUGAGAGGCGGGUGUGCCCGAAAGGGAAUCGGAACACAGGUGCUGCAUGGCUGUCGU